GGGGCGGUAGCUCAGCUGGUUAGAGCAGGGGACUCAUAAUCCCUGGGUCACGGGUUCGAGUCCCGUCCGCCCUA
rnacentral:tRNA from 4 species